CACACACACACACGCACACACAGGUGCAGGUGAUGAAGAGCCGAGCAGCGAGAACAUCAUCUGGUUCCUGUUCACACUGAACAUCACAGACAGCGAGUUGUGUUGAAGUUACCGACCAACAAACACAACGACACACCGUCAGGCUGUGAGACCCAGAUCCUACCAGCAGGAGGCAGCACAACACUACUCAUGUUGCUGUGAUCACAGGAGGGAAGACACAAAGGCAGGCAUGUACACACACACACACACACCUACACACGCACACACACAGUGGUGAGUGUCAGCUGUUCGUCACACACACGCUGUCUGACCUUCUCGUCCUGUUUAACCACCAGUUUGUGUUGAAAUGUGAGAUCAUCAGAAAACAGCUUCUGACCUACAACACGUCUCAGCCUGUGUUCACAUUAAUUCGACCACCUGAUCGACUGAUAUUAAAUCACACAGCUACUCCAAGUUUCAGCUCCUUAGUAACUUCACGACAGUGAAGCAUCUGAUGAACGCGGAGAAAUGGUGAUACUGUAGGGAAAGAAUGUGAAUUUGAGAACCACAGACAGAUGAGACCUCACUCUCUCUCUCUCUCUGAUGUGAUUUACUACAUUGUUUACUGGACUCCACCACUGGCAUGUGAUCCAGACCGGCCUCAUCGUACGAUCCCCGUCCUGAAACCAGAACAUGAAACGCACUGAAGCGCUCCAGAAAACUUCCAGUCUUUCUUAGAAAGAGACCAGAGGAGCCGUCUGACUGUGGAGCGAGGACAUUCUGUGGCUCUUCCAUCACAAAUGUAACACAUGUAACACAUGUAACACAUGUAACACAUGUAACACCCUCCUCUUCAUCGCUGCCGUCCAUCACACACAUGAACCGGCCGGUUACAUGUUCAGCUGUCGCACGUCGUCAGAGUUUGGACCUUCAGUUCCUCGACCGACAGUCUCCAUCACUUCCUGAACACAUACACCAACAUUUAACAUUCGCAAAAGGUCGCGCUGAUGGACUUCACCCGAUCCAGCCUGAGCCUGGUGGGUGUCAGACCUGCAGGUACAGAAGACAGACGGAGCUCUGACCCUCCGGACCACCCAGGUGUGGAAACACCCACUCAAUGUAAAAAUAAGUCCAGAGACGGAGGAGGGAGAGCUCAGAGCUCCACCGACACGGAGGAGUUUAAGUACAGCUCAGAGCUGCAGCCUCCAUCAGGGUCUCAUUAACCACAUCUGAACUUUACGCUCCUUUAAACUUCCACAUCUGAAAACAAAAUGUACUUUUUACUCUUUUACUAAAGACCCUGAACUCUUCUUCCACCGCCGUUUCCCACCUUCACAUGAACGCGGCGUGACUGUUUUGGUUGAACGUCUGAUCUCUGGGCUUUUCUGUUCACCUGAUUUCAGUUGAAUUGCUCUUUUAUCAAACGUCGAGGUGUUUUUCUAGCAAACACGGUCAAAACAGAACCUCUCUCUAACUUCAAGAGGGAGACGGAGGCAGAGAAAACAGAGACACAGGCAGUAAAUCCUGCGGAAAACAGAGAGAAGCAGUUUCCACAGCCCAACACACACACACACACACACACACACACACACACUGCAGACUUUGUGUCGUAAAGCUCAACGUAAACACGACCUGUUCUCUCAGGUGUGUGUGGGAGCGCGGGGAGGACAGAGGGUAAUUUCCACGUUGCAAACAGAAGCUCAGUGUCGGCGAGCUGUUAGUCCGCCUGACGUCUGGCCGCUGUGGAAACACACGGACAGGCUGCGUGUUGUCGGACUGUUUCUACAAGACUCUGGAUCCAAACCCACGAAAACACAAAGACCUGAUCUCAGAAGCUGAUCUGCACCGAGUCGACUCGUUCUCUCUGUUAGAGGUGAAACACAGUUCAGACGAAACGUAUUCUCACCUGAAAUGUGCUGCAACACCUCACGUCCACAGAGCUCUGAUGUGGCAGUAAAUACUACAGAAGUGCCUGAAGAGCUGACAGACGUAACGCCUCGUCUCAGCCAGAGUCUUAAUAAUUUAAUCCCGACUUAAUUCUAUUUGAGACAAACACACGUCACAAGCCAAGUUAGUAUGAGAAGAGUCUCUUCCAUCACUGUCAAUCAAAAUCAAAACCCUCGUCUCCACCCAGACGUCCGGUUCAGUUCAGGGCUGCACCAGAUUUCACUUCAGCAUCGACGUCGAACAGUUGAAUCAAACAGUUGAUGGAAUGUCGCUCAAAUGGAAAAGGCUGUUGAACAAAUAUAUAUAUUUUAUGUGAGAUUUAUUUUAAGUGUCUAAAACACGUCAGCUGAUGGUCAUCGACUGCAGGUUCAACCUCACAUCGAAAAAUCUCGACUAGAACUUUAAGUUGAGCUCACUGAUGUCAGGAAAAUAAAAACAUAACAUUUUAUUAAGUUAUA